GAUGAACGCUGGCGGCGUGCCUAAUACAUGCAAGUCGAGCGAACAGACGAGGAGCUUGCUCCUUCGACGUUAGCGGCGGACGGGUGAGUAACACGUGGGUAACCUACCUAUAAGACUGGGAUAACUUCGGGAAACCGGAGCUAAUACCGGAUAAUAUUUCGAACCGCAUGGUUCGAUAGUGAAAGACGGCUUUGCUAUCACUUAUAGAUGGACCUGCGCCGUAUUAGCUAGUUGGUAAGGUAACGGCUUACCAAGGCAACGAUACGUAGCCGACCUGGGAGGGUGAUCGGCCACACUGGAACUGAGACACGGUCCAGACUCCUACGGGAGGCAGCAGUAGGGAAUCUUCCGCAAUGGGCGAAAGCCUGACGGAGCAACGCCGCGUGAGUGAUGAAGGUCUUCGGAUCGUAAAACUCUGUUAUUAGGGAAGAACAAACGUGUAAGUAACUGUGCACGUCUUGACGGUACCUAAUCAGAAAGCCACGGCUAACUACGUG
rnacentral:rRNA from 1 species